CAAGAAGCUGACAAGUACUGUUAGAGGAGGCUGUACAUGUUGCUCUAAUGGACCUCAUUAAGUUCUACUUACAGAUGUUCUCUUAACAUAAUUGAUCUGCGAUGAAAACUUUAAGGAACAAUGAAGGAGAAGAGGUACUGCUCUGAAACGGACUGAAAUGUGGAGCUGCGGUGAGCUGUUUGCCAGAGAUUUGAAAGCUUCCGUGGAAAAAGCCCAAGGCCAUCAGACAAACAAAAAGUUUAGGAGAGAGUACAUCUUGAAUUUGAUAAC